rnacentral:misc_RNA from 1 species
UCCCCGUUACCGGGGCAGUCUAGCCAGAGAAAUCCAACUGACUAUAAGGGUUGCGCUCGUUGAUGGACUUAACCAAACAUCUCACGACACGAGCUGACGACGGCCAUGCAACACCUGUCACCGACCAACUAAAUGAAGUCUACUUUCGUAGAUUGCUUCGGGAUGUCAAACCCUGGUAAGGUUCUUCGCUUACCUUCGAAUUAAAGAACACGCUCCACCGCUUGUGCGGGUCCCCGUCAAUUCCUUUAUGUUUUAGUCUUGCGACCGUACUCCACAGGCGGGAUGCUUAACGCGUUAGCUUCGCUACGAGAAGGGUCGAUACUUCUCACAGCUAGCAUCCAUCGUUUACGGCGUGGACUAC